rnacentral:rRNA from 1 species
UAAUACGUAGGUGGCAAGCGUUGUCCGGAUUUAUUGGGUUUAAAGGGUGCGUAGGCGGUCUUAUAAGUCAGUGCUGAAAUAUCCCGGCUUAACCGGGAGGGUGGCAUUGAUACUGUAGGACUUGAGUAAAGUUGAGGUUGGCGGAAUUGACGGUGUAGCGGUGAAAUGCUUAGAUAUCGUCAAGAACACCGAUAGUGUAGACAGCUAACUAAGCUUUAACUGACGCUGAGGCACGAAAGUGUGGGGAUCAAACAGGAUUAGAUACCCUGGUAGUCCACACUGUAAACGUUGAUGACUCGCUGUUGGCGAUACACAGUCAGCGGCUUAGAGAAAUCGUUAAGUCAUCCACCUGGGGAGUACGCCGGCAACGGUG